rnacentral:rRNA from 1 species
CCUACGGGUGGCAGCAGUGGGGGAUAUUGCACAAUGGGGGAAACCCUGAUGCAGCGACGCCGCGUGUGGGAAGACGGUCCUCUGGAUUGUAAACCACUGUCCCCAGGGACGAAGAUGACGGUACCUGGGGAGGAAGCUCCGGCUAACUACGUGCCAGCAGCCGCGGUAAUACGUAGGGAGCGAGCGUUGUCCGGAAUUACUGGGUGUAAAGGGAGCGUAGGCGGGGAUGCAAGUUGGGUGUCAAAACUACCGGCUCAACUGGGAGUCGCACUCAAAACUGCAGCCCUUGAGUGAAGUAGAGGCAGGCGGAAUGCGUAGUGUAGCGGUGAAAUGCGUAGAUAUUAGGAGGAACCCCAGUGGCGAAGGCGGCCUGCUGGGGUCUUACUGACGCUGAGGCUCGAAAGUGUGGGGAGCAAACAGGAUUAGAUACCCUAGUAGUC